rnacentral:misc_RNA from 1 species
GAGGCCGAGCUGAGCACGUGGACGGCGUUUCUGCAGCGCGCCGUCGACGCGACCUACAACACGGAGGUGGUCAUCGACAACGUGCAGAACCUAAUCGCACGGCAGUGGUGAGCACUUGUGUCCCGCCAGUCGCCGUAAACUCCGGACCCUGGAUAUGGACCUACAGAAGUCACUGCGACGUGCUUCAGAGCGCGCGAGCGACCGUCGUGCGGCCUCCACACAUUCCAAAUUUAUUUUGUGUAUCGAUUAUAAUAAAGCAAAAUAAAAAUAAUAAAACUUUCAAUGCAUUGUUCCUUUAUUUCACUUACAUUUACAUUAUAUCGAUCUCGAAUACAUAAAGGUAUCAGACUCAUAUUGGCAAGUUUGUAGGAGACAUAGACUGCCAGAAGUAUAUGAAAAUACAUACAUUUGUCUCUUCAGUAAAAAUACUUAGAAUGUAGUGUUGCAAAAUAUAUUUAUAUUCUUUACAUAAUAUAAUAUAUAAAUAAAAUGAAAUGACACUGCUGUUAGCGAUCACAAAAAAUGGCCGUCCUACGCGGCGCUACACCUCGAAUAUUGUCACAAGAUAAUAUACUUAAUUACAAAACUUAAAACAAACUUAACUAUAAAAAUAGUCUGUCAUCUCCCGAACUACACUAACAUACUUGUCUCCACGUUAAACUACCAUCUGCUGGUUAGUCGACACGCACGACUCUAGCUACAGUUUCACGCUGUACCCAGAGGCCGGUCUCUGCGACUUCAGUUCCUCACAUUUAACUCGGGGCGUGAACUCCGGUCAUGUAAUAUAUGUAAAACGAUAUGGUAACAGAAAUAAUUUCAUUACGAGUAGGUAAAACGUUCCGGAUAAGAUAAGCUGGAAGACACGUUCUUAACAUACUUAAAAGUAUUCGAAGCCGGCUCCAAGCGCAGGAGUCUGGAGCUUGACAGUAUUUACAGAGCGAGACAGUUUCGAGCGUUCGGAGCGAAUCUUACGUCUACACUAACACGAAGUAAUACUGCUCCGGCGGAGCUGGGACCUCAUAAAUAUGUACUUAGUGACUAUGUACACGUGCGGGGUGAGCCGGGCGUCAGGCGGACGUCUGGCGGGCGUCAGGCGGACGUCAGGCGGACGUUAGGCGGACGUCAGGCGGGCGUCAGGCGGGCGUCAGGCGGACGUCAGGCGGACGUCAGGCGGACGUCAGGCGGGCGUCAGGCGGACGUCAGGCGGACGUCAGGCGGACGUCAGGCGGGCGUCAGGCGGACGUCAGGCGGGCGUCAGGCGGACGUCAGGCGGGCGCGGGCGGCGGCGGCGGGGCGGCGCGCGGCGCGCGGGGCGGGGCCAGCACCGCGUGCGGGACCGGCACCGUGCGGCCGCACACCUGCGGGUCGUUGAGGUGGUUGGGACACAAGUUACUUGGAUUUAACACAAUUGAGUAAAAUUAAAGACCCCGACUUCGGAGCGCGGACGAGCAAAGAGUUUGCAGUGACUAUGUUAAACGGAUUUUAGCGCACUGCGUAAGGUACCAUGUACCAUAUUCGCUAGGAGUGGUACAUUACGUCUCGUAACACGGGUCUUUACCCACCUUUACGGUGACACAUCGAAAGAAUUUUUAGAUGAUUUUGUCUAUCUAUCUAGUCGGGGUAUCGAUUAUCGGGGUAUCGGGGUACCGACCGGUAUUAAUUAAACUAUAUAAAUUAGGCACGAUAACUUUGAAAUAAUCAUUAUUGAAAAUUAAAACAAAGGAUUAAUAAAAAAAACGUGCGUACGUACAAAGUACACAUGUCAGAAGUGAAACUUCUUUGGCAAACUAGUUUUUAAGUCUCGUUUAUAUUUAUACAAAUUUAAAGCUUUAAAUUUUUAUUCCAGCGCCAUCUAGUUCGUUUGCAAUGUAAUAC